rnacentral:lncRNA from 1 species
AUGCUAAUGCCUGCAUACAGACCGCUCGUUAAAGUCGCUAAACCAGUUCAGAAACAGAUUCAAGUGUGGCCAGAAGGGUUGUCUGACGCUCUUCAGGAUUGCUUUGAUACAACUGACUGGAAUAUGUUUAAGCAGGCUGCCACUUACAAUAACUCCACUGACCUCCAGGAGUACUCGGAGACUGUCACUGCCUACAUCACCAAGUGUAUUGAGGAUGUAACAGUCACAAAAACCAUUACUGUCCGGGCCAACCAGAAGCCGUGGAUGACAGGGGAAGUCUACAGACUCCUGGAGACGCGGAACGCUGCCUUCAGAGCUGGAGACGAGGGGGGCCUGAGAACAGCCAGGGCCAACCUAUCCCGCGGCAUCAGAGAGGCUAAGAGACAGUACUCCAGGAGGAUAGCCCAUCAAUUCAGCGACAGCAGAGACACUCGGAGCCUGUGGCAGGGGAUACAGACCAUUACGGACUACAAGCCCCCACAGCGGACCUGUGACAGCAACAUCUCUCUGCUGAACGAGCUGAACACCUUCUUCGCUCGCUUUGAGGCACAAAACAGCUCCACUGCACAGAAGACUCCACCUCCUCCCAGUGACCAGGUGAUGAUGCUGACCCCAGACAGCGUGAGGAGAUCCUUCAGCAGGAUCAAUGCACGCAAAGCUCCGGGUCCUGACAACAUUCCUGGGCGUGUACUGAGAGACUGUGCAGCAGAACUCACUGAUGUCUUCACAGACAUUUUCAACAUCUCACUGAGUCAGGCUGUUGUUCCCACAUGCUUCAAAGCUACCACCAUCAUUCCAGUCCCGAAGAAGCCAUCUCAAUCCUGCUUCAAUGACUACCGUCCUGUUACGCUUACUCCCAUCCUCAUGAAGUGCUUCGAACAGCUAGUCAUGCACCACAUCAAGUCUGCCCUCCCCCCCUCCCUGGACCCAUUCCAGUUUGCAUAUCGGACCAACCGGUCGACCGAUGAUGCCAAGCUCUUCAGUCUGCUGCCAUCAGGGAGGAGACUGCGGAGUCUCCAGGCCAGGACCAGCAGACUGAAGGACAGCUUCAUCCACCAGGCUGUCAGGAAGCUGAACUCGCUCCCGAACUUGCCCCCCCGUCCUCUCUGCCUCAGGCACCACUGA